rnacentral:rRNA from 1 species
UACGUAGGGUGCGAGCGUUAAUCGGAAUUACUGGGCGUAAAGCGCGCGUAGGCGGUCUUUCAAGUCAGUGGUGAAAGCCUGGAGCUCAACUCCAGAACUGCCAUUGGAACUGCAAGACUUGAGUACGAGAGAGGUGAGUGGAAUUCCCAGUGUAGAGGUGAAAUUCGUAGAUAUUGGGAAGAACACCGGUGGCGAAGGCGGCUCACUGGCUCGUAACUGACGCUCAGGCGCGACAGCGUGGGGAUCAAACAGG